CAUCAAAGCAAUAUUUCGCUACCAAAUUAUUGAUGGAUUUGUCUUUCAUUGCAAGAAUAGAUAUAAAUAAGUCGUGAUUUAUUAAAAUAACUGUCGAGUGUUUAAAGUUGUCCUUCAGCAGCAUAAGGGAGUGGACCGCGCGCGUUCGGGAGCCUGUUAUUGGAAUUUGCUAAUUUCGCAUGUAAAAUAGCCCAUGUUUAACGCAUGAUAACUUCGCAAGUAAAGAAUAUUUUAUUUUUGAAUUUUUUGUGUUUGUGAAAGAAGGAUAGAUCUAAACAACUACAAAAUCUUGAAGUUCUUACAUUUUGUAACGCGAGAGUAAUAUGCCAUCGAAUUUGUCGAAUAUUUGUGAGUCGCGACGCCAUUAAAUCAUGUGGCACCAGGUUCCGCCGUGAACACGUCGUGUUCAACCGUAAAUUCGGAGUGAUCUCUGGGGUCAUAUGGGACAAUUUGGUAUUGAAAGAAAGAUAAAGACCUCAGCUAUCCACCGAUGUCCUGUUCUUUCGAGAUUUCAACACGGAAGGACUCAUAGAGAUUAUAAAUAACACCCUAAAAGGUAUU